UCACCAGCCCACUGAAAGAAACAAAACAGACCCAGUCACAUCCUCUAAAGAAGGAAUCUCCAACCCUAUUCCUGGAGAGCUGCCCUCCAAUUGGUUAACUCCAACUCUGUUCCUGGAGAACUACCCUCCUAUUGGUUAACUCCAACCCUGUUCCUGGAGAGCUACCCUCCUAUAGGUUAACUCCAACCCUGUUCCUGGAGAGCUACCCUCCUAUAGGUUAACUCCAACCCUGUUCCUGGAGAACUACCCUCCUAUAGGUUAACUCCAACCCUGUUCCUGAAGAGCUACCCUCCUAUAGGUUAACUCCAACCCUGUUCCUGAAGAGCUGCCCUCCUAUAGGUUAACUCCAACCCUGUUCCUGGAGAGCUGCCCUCCUAUAGGUUAAAUCCAACCCUGUUCCUGGAGAGCUACCCUCCUGUAG